UACGUAGGGUGCGAGCGUUAAUCGGAAUUACUGGGCGUAAAGCGUGCGCAGGCGGUUGAUUAAGUCUGAUGUGAAAGCCCCGGGCUCAACCUGGGAAUGGCAUUGGAAACUGGUCAGCUGGAGUGUGGCAGAGGGGGGUGGAAUUCCGCGUGUAGCAGUGAAAUGCGUAGAGAUGCGGAGGAACACCGAUGGCGAAGGCGGGUAGCUGGGCCAACACUGACGCUGAUGCGCGAAAGCUAGGGGAGCAAACGGG
rnacentral:rRNA from 1 species